UAAACAUACGUGUGCGCGCGCCUCUCGUAACACGUGAAAGUAAAGAAAAAAAAAGAGAGAAGAAAAACUCUCUUCUCCAGACGUGCGACAGGUUUCCCCCGCCCCCCCUGUUUUUUUUCCCUCUUUCACGCCACUCAGCCAACCAUUCUCCGCCGCGAGCCCAGCCGCCGUUAGUCGUCCGCCGUCGCCUCGUUCGGACCGUCUACGCCAGCAUCCGUUCACGCCGGAUCCCAACCUGCCGUCGUUUUCCAGCCUUGCAGAUCGUUCGUGGAGCCGUCCUGCCGCGCCAGACCCGGCGUCCGCACCGUCUAGCCACCGCCGAUCCGCGCGCCGUCGGCUUCGUCGUCAGCCCCUUUGCUCGCCGGAGUAUUUGGAUUUUGUAAGGCCUUCUUCAAGAUUUGAUGAAUCCCUUUGAGAUCUUGGUUAGUUUUGAAUGCCUAUCAAGUUUUGGCAUGGGAUUGAUGUUUACCCACAAUGUUCUUUUGGACCUUAUAUUGAAAUCUCAAGGUGUUUAAGGUUGCGGCCCAACAAGAUUUGAAACGUUUUGGCACAUUCUUGAAGUUUGAAGUUGAGAUUUAGAGGUGUUUCUAGUAGGCUGUCCAGCACCUUUAACGAUGAUUUUGUGCGUCUUCAGACCACUAAACAUGUGUGAACCGAUGGGUUCAUCUGCAUGACAGGUUCACUUUCAUGUUUUUCCAUGUUUUGACGGUGUGCUAUCGGGCCACUAGACAUGCAAUACCAAUAUGAAAAAGUUAAAAUAUGCUUGUCCCACUAGCCCAGGUAAGACUAAGGAUAUUUGGACGACUGACAAGAGGAAUCUCUGACAGUGCCAAAGGGACUAGAUAGAUGCUUUUGCAUGAGUUCUUGUGUCAUUUUCAUGGUUUACUAUUAAUCUUUCGUGAACUUGAUUUUGAUAGAGUUGAGGUGUUAAGAGAUUUUCUUUUUGGAUUAGUUUUUCUUAUUUUAAAUUUAAGCUUUAGGGGUACCCGACUCGGCAUAUUAUGGAAAAUUUUGUUUUAAUUCUUUGUUUAAUAAAGCAAUCAUUUCAUGGAAA